ensembl:lncRNA
CCCGUCUAUUGGUUGCCGGAGUUGUCACAAGUGAACACAGGUGACCUGGGACGCGCCAAGCCCCGCUGACAACAUCACAGCCAGCGGAAAUAAAAAUAAUUAGCAGCUGGAGUGCCAGUGGAGUGUAUCAUCCAGUUUUCUGAAAUUAUUAAUGACACAUAAUGCCUUUUUUUUGUUGCGUAGUUUGUGUUUGAGGAUACGAGCGAUUCCACUGACCGCAUUGGAGCGCACUGGUGGAAGACCCACGUAGUUUCCAGAACCUGCACUCCCAACUUCGUAUCAUCUGACCUUCAGAGCGUUUUCCAGUCCUCUCCAGGGUGUCCAGAGAUGUAGGGAGCAGUGGGAGGAGCACCCCCCCCCCCCUUCUCACUCUCUCAGCACCACUUUACUUACAAAGAGGUAACCAUGGUUGACAGAGGAAGAACAAUGAUUCCAAGCACCACCCUCCUUUUUAAGCUUCCAGUCUGUUAUUCGAACUCAAUCAGCAUGACAGAGUGAACUCCAGCCUUGUCCUCGUCAACACUCACACUUGUGUUAACGAGAGAAUCACUGACAUGUCAGCUGGUCCUUUUGUGGCACGGCUGUAAUGCAGUGGACAUGUUUUUGGGGGAUUCAGUUAAUUUGCAUGGCAAAGAGGGACUUUACAAUGAAUUGCAAUUCAUCUGAUCACUCUUCAUAACAUUCUGGAG